ACUUUUUGCUUGGUCUAUUAAAAUGAUUCAUGUUGCAUUCAACAUAAACUGUGUGUUCACAGAGGAGGGUGAGAGCCCGCACUCACAGCAUAAUAACUAAAGUGAAUUUUGAACGAGCCGCAGUUUGUGGCAGCCGUGUGCACGAGUAAAGGGGGGAAUCAAAUCUGCAUGUUUAUGCUGUGGAACAUCAAAUAACACCAUUUUACUGUUUGGAGUACAUACAGCGUGGGAUUUACAUUCCAUUUACCUGACCUCACGGAGGGAACUCGGACUGAUAUGCAAAGUACAUGAAAUAUUUACUACACUGGAUCAUGCCAGGCUUCUAAAGGAAAACAGAUGAAGAUAGGGUACCAACAACCGACCAGAGAAUCAAUUCUACCGGAGUCCGGCUGAGGGAUGUGUGUCUGACUCCAAGGUGCCUGCCUCUCCAAAUAAUCAUCACAGUGAGUGAGGCUGUGCACCGGAAGCUAAUUUCUGGACCUGCAGGUGCCUUUGCCCCAGCAACUGUUACCUAUAUAAGCUUGGAGGUGGGGAGGUAUUGUGAGUCCUGUAUCUUUCGGGAGUGUCCUGAGCCUUGUAAGUGUUACUUCCUUCUUAAGUCUUAAGAAGUUCCCCCACCAACCCCAGGAAUUAAAGGUUUUCAUUCAGAGGAA